AACGAACGCUGGCGGCAGCCUUAACACAUGCAAGUCGAGCGCGCCUUCGGGUGAGCGGCGGACGGGUUAGUAACGCGUGGGAACGUGCCCUUCUCUACGGAAUAGCCUCUGGAAACGGAGAGUAAUACCGUAUACGCCCUUUGGGGGAAAGAUUUAUCGGAGAAGGAUCGGCCCGCGUUAGAUUAGGUAGUUGGUGGGGUAACGGCCUACCAAGCCUACGAUCUAUAGCUGGUUUUAGAGGAUGAUCAGCAACACUGGGACUGAGACACGGCCCAGACUCCUACGGGAGGCAGCAGUGGGGAAUCUUAGACAAUGGGGGCAACCCUGAUCUAGCCAUGCCGCGUGAGUGAUGAAGGCCUUAGGGUCGUAAAGCUCUUUCGCCUGUGAUGAUAAUGACAGUAGCAGGUAAAGAAACCCCGGCUAACUCCGUG
rnacentral:rRNA from 1 species